UGCCAGCAGCCGCGGUAAUACGGAGGGUGCGAGCGUUAAUCGGAAUUACUGGGCGUAAAGCGUGCGUAGGCGGCAUGGUCAGUCGGAUGUGAAAGCCCCGGGCUUAACCUGGGAAUUGCAUUCGAUACUGCCAAGCUAGAGUAUGAUAGAGGAAAGUGGAAUUCCCGGUGUAGCGGUGAAAUGCGUAGAUAUCGGAAGGAACACCGGUGGCGAAGGCGACUUCCUGGGCCAAUACUGACGCUGAGGCGCGAAAGCGUGGGUAGCAAACAGGAUUAGAUA
rnacentral:rRNA from 1 species